GUGGGGAAUAUUCCGCAAUGGACGAAAGUCUGACGGAGCAACGCCGCGUGAGUGAUGAAGGUUUUCGGACUGUAAAGCUCUGUUGUUUAGGACGAAAGUGCCUGUAGCAAAUAGUUACAGGUAUUGACGGUACUGAACGAGGAAGCCACGGCUAACUACGUGCCAGCAGCCGCGGUAAUACGUAGGUGGCAAGCGUUGUCCGGAAUUAUUGGGCGUAAAGAGCAUGUAGGAGGGAAUCUAAGUCUGUUGUGAAAAUGCGGGGCUCAACCCGGUAUUGCGAUGGAAACUGGGUUUCUUGAGUGUAGGAGAGGAAAGGGGAAUCCCCAGUGUAGCGGUGAAAUGCGUAGAUAUUGGGAGGAACACCAGUGGCGAAGGCGCCUUUCUGGACUGUGUCUGACGCUGAGAUGCGAAAGCCAGGGUAGCGAACGGGAUUAGAUACCCUUGUAGUCC
rnacentral:rRNA from 1 species